AUACUCCAACACACAUACAAAACACUCACUGAUAAUCCAACACACAUACAAACACUCACUGAUACUCCAACACACAUACAAACACUCACUGAUACUCCAACACACAUACAAAGACUCACUGAUUUGCUCACACACACAUAAUAUACACAUACAGUACAUCGGAAAGUAUUCAGACCUCUUGACUUUUUCCACAUUUUGUUCCGUUACAGCUUUAUUCUAAAAGGAUUAAAUCGAUUUUACCGACAUCAAUCUACACAUAAUACCCAUAAUGACAAAGCAGAAAUAGUUUUGGGGUAAUGUUUGCAAAUCACAUUUACAUAAGUAUUCAGACCCUUUACUCAGUACUUUGUUGAAGCACCAUUGCAGCGAUUACAACCUUGAGUCUUCUUGGGUAUUAUAAAGGGAGAAGGGGCUGUUUAUAAAGGGAGAAGGUGCUUGUUAUAAAGGGAAAAGGGUGCUUGUUAUAAAGGGAGAAAGGGUGCUUGUUAUAAAAGGGAGAAGGGUGCUUGUUAUAGGGAGAAGGGUGCUUGUUAUAAAGGGAAAGGGUGCUUGUUAUAAAAGGGAAGGGUGCUUGUUAUAAAGGGAGAAGGGUGCUUGUUAUAAAGGGAGAAGGGUGCUUGUUAUAAAGGGAAAAGGGCUUGUUAUUGAGGAAAGGGGUGCUUGUUAUAAAGGAAAGGGGUGCUUGUUAUAAAGGGAAAAGGGUGCUGUUAUUGAGGGAGAAGGUGCUUGUUAUUAAGGGAAAAGGGUGCUUGUUAUAAAAGGGAGAAGGGUGCUUGUUAUUGAGGGAGAAGGGUGCUUGUUAUAAAGGGAGAAGGGUGCUUGUUAUAAAGGAGAAGGUGCUUGUUUUAAGGAAAGGGUGCUUGUUAUAAAGGGAAAAGGGUGCUUGUGUAAAGGAAAGGGUGCUUGUAUAGGGUUUAUAAAGGGAAAGGGUGCUUGUUAUAAAAGGAAAAGGUGCUUGUUAUUAAGGAAAAGGGUGCUUGUUAUAAAGGAAAAGGGGGCUUUUAUAAAGGGAAAGGGGUGCGUUAUAAAGGGAAAAGGGUGCUUGUAUAAAGGAAAGGGUGUUGCUUGUUAUAAAGGGAAAGGGGUGCUUGUUAUAAAGGGAAAAGGGUGCUUGUUAUAAAGGGAAAGGGGUGCUUGUUAUAAAGGUGAGAAGGGUGCUGUAUAAAGGGAAAGGGUGCUUGUUAUAAAGGAAAAGGUGCUUGUUAUAAAGGAAAAGGGUGCUUGUUAUAAAGGGAA
rnacentral:lncRNA from 1 species